GAAUAGCUCGGUUGGUAGAGCAUGAGACUCAAUCUCAGAAUUGUGGGUUUGAGCCCCACAGCCUAGGUCCA
rnacentral:tRNA from 1 species